rnacentral:rRNA from 1 species
UUGAACGCUGGCGGCAUGCCUUACACAUGCAAGUCGAACGGUAACAGGUUAAGCUGACGAGUGGCGAACGGGUGAGUAAUACAUCGGAACGUGCCCAGUAGUGGGGGAUAGCCCGGCGAAAGCCGGAUUAAUACCGCAUACGACCUAAGGGUGAAAGGGGGGGAUCGCAAGACCUCUCGCUAUUGGAGCGGCCGAUGUCAGAUUAGCUAGUUGGUGGGGUAAAAGCUCACCAAGGCGACGAUCUGUAGCUGGUCUGAGAGGACGACCAGCCACACUGGGACUGAGACACGGCCCAGACUCCUACGGGAGGCAGCAGUGGGGAAUUUUGGACAAUGGGCGCAAGCCUGAUCCAGCCAUGCCGCGUGCGGGAAGAAGGCCUUCGGGUUGUAAACCGCUUUUGUCAGGGAAGAAAUCCUUUGGGUUAAUACCUCGGGGGGAUGACGGUACCUGAAGAAUAAGCACCGGCUAACUACGUG